rnacentral:rRNA from 1 species
GAUGAACGCUGACAGAAUGCUUAACACAUGCAAGUCAACUUGAAUUUGGGUUUUUAACUUAGGUUUGGGUGGCGGACGGGUGAGUAGCGCGUAAAGAACUUGCCUCACAGCUAGGGACAACAUUUGGAAACGAAUGCUAAUACCUAAUAUUAUGAUAAUAGGGCAUCCUAUAAUUAUGAAAGCUAUAAGCGCUGUGAGAGAGCUUUGCGUCCCAUUAGCUAGUUGGAGAGGUAACGGCUCACCAAGGCGAUGAUGGGUAGCCGGCCUGAGAGGGUGAUCGGCCACAAGGGGACUGAGACACGGCCCUUACUCCUACGGGAGGCAGCAGUGGGGAAUAUUGGACAAUGGACCGAGAGUCUGAUCCAGCAAUUCUGUGUGCACGAUGAAGUUUUUCGGAAUGUAAAGUGCUUUCAGUUGGGAAGAAACAAAUGACGGUACCAACAGAAGAAGUGACGGCUAAAUACGUG